CCUANGGGUGGCAGCAGUAAGGAAUAUUGGACAAUGGGCGCAAGCCUGAUCCAGCCAUGCCGCGUGAAGGAUGAAGGCCCUAUGGGUCGUAAACUUCUUUUAUACGGGAAAAAACCCCUCGAUGCGUCGAGGGUUGAUGGUACUGUAAGAAUAAGGGUCGGCUAACUUCGUGCCAGCAGCCGCGGUAAUACGAAGGACCCAAGCGUUAUCCGGAUUUAUUGGGUUUAAAGGGUGCGUAGGCGGAUUAAUAAGUCAGUGGUGAAAGCCUCCCGCUUAACGGGAGAAUUGCCAUUGAUACUGUUAGUCUUGAGUAUGGUUGAGGUGGGCGGAAUGUGUCAUGUAGCGGUGAAAUGCUUAGAUAUGACACAGAACACCAAUUGCGAAGGCAGCUCGCUAAACCAUAACUGACGCUGAGGCGCGAAAGCGUGGGGAGCAAACAGGAUUAGAUACCCUGNUANUC
rnacentral:rRNA from 1 species